rnacentral:lncRNA from 1 species
UCAACACCAGCACGCAGGAAUCCACCAGGUUUGGAUGGACGAUGCAUCUGACCAGAAGAGGGGAGUAGUAAGUUUCUGGGGUACACUGAAAGAUCCCUCACUCUGUGUAAUUACCCAGGAAAUGAAAUAGUCUUGUCCAUGUGGACAUUGGUGCCCAAAUGAGAAAAAUAGUGUAUAUAUCCUGACCACUUAAAAGUCAUGCUUUUUCUGAGAGAACCUCUGAGCUCGAAAGACUGUGAAAUAGUAUGUCUGCCUGUACCAGAAUCUUUCCUGAGUAGAGAAUUUCAUCAGGAAGGAAGAGGCCCAGAGCAUGCACAUAUGUUGAACUCUUGAAGGGCACCCAGUUUGAAAGAGAACAUCAAAGGCCUGAAUCACUGUGAAACAUGCUGUCUGCAAGUACUAGAACACUUCCUGAGAGCAAGGGACACUGCCAAACCACUAGAGCAAAAGUUAUGAUGGAUAAAGAGACAGGUGUUCUGGUGACCUGUAACCCCAUCAGGAGCCCUGAGGGUCACCUCCUGCUAAACCAAACAUAACCUUUAUCAGUGAAGGUCACUCCUGAGAAACCCUGUUGAGAAACCCUGCAGACAGGAAAGCCAAGGAGGCCUCCUCCUUCCCAUUGUCAUUGUCUUUUAAGGGAGCUUGAACAGGUUGGCUCCUACAGACUUCUUAAAAAGCCUGGAACACUCUGCUAAUUCUGUGUUCCCGUACUCUUCAACUGAGUCAAGAGAAGAAAACAGAUAUUUGGAACUCUGAUCCAAUCAAAUUAAUAUUCUGGUGAUCAGAAGCCAAGACUGUACAGAGAUUUCUGAGGCCUCUCCAGGAAUUCUGUCCAGAAUCACGCUCUGGAGGACUUCAGUGUGCGAGAAUGUACAGUACAUUGGAUGGACUCUGGGGUCUAAGGAAUGAAGUUUGUCCUCAUUAGGACAAAAAGAUACAAGAGGAACGCCCGAGUACAUAUAGAACACAGGGUGCCAUGAUGUGGAGCCCGAAGACAAGGGAGGCUGCUGAACACUCUAAUGCCUGUAUGAGUGAACUUGGACAUGAACAGUGUAGCUGGAUCUGUUUGCCUUCAGUUCAAGCUGCAAUGUUGUCACCAUCUCCUCUUUAAGCCCAUGUAUCCUUGACAAGGUUGUUCUGCCCUUCAAGCUCAUAUGAUGGUUGUGCAUGUAGGAGACCUAGCCUUCUGUCACCAAGGAAACAGAAAGCAGAGGAGGAAUGUGACCGUGGGAGGCUGCAGGCAAAAGUGAUGUGGGGCCACAACUGUACCUGGAAGCUACAUGGUACAAUCCCUGAGGCCCUGUUCAGACCUUCAUUCUAUUCUGGUGUCUUCCUAGUGACAGCCCUGCUAGCCAAUGACAACAACUUCUCCCUGAUCUUCCCCAGCCUUGCUUCCCAGUCCUGAGACUUGAAGAGCACAGAGGAAGGCCUCUUGUAGGUCAGUCACUGGCUCUGGACCAUUGACCACUACCACUGCUUUUACUUGGGAUGGUGUUCAAAUUGUGGGAUGUCUGAGAAAGCUGGGUUCCACGUUUUUGCUAUGCAACCUGUUCCUCACGUCCUGGACUUUGCCGGCUCCAGUCCUCAGUUGCCAUUCAGUAAGCAUUGUGACGUGUAAGGCUCUCAGGAGAAGCCAGAUCCCAGUGGCAUUAGUGUGACAAACAAGCUGUGCCCAAGGAGCUGACACUCUGGCAGAGUCCAGGACAUCCAGGAAGACAGAGGUGGUGAGAUAUCACCAACUAUGACUCUGACAUCCAAUGAAGCAGUCGAGGGCCAUGAUGCUUUUCUGACUGAGGCAACACAGCCUGGAGCCCAAAUCCCGAGGCUGUGCACCAAAGUCCUUCCGUUUGUCACUGAUCCUGGUGCUUUCCCACAAGAAGUUGCUCAAUGUGGCUACCAGGGAGGCCAAACAUAAGCCUGUGUCUGCAGACAGGAGGGCACCAACAAUGUGUCAAGCAACCUCAUCUGCAUCGUCACAAGCAUCUGCAGUGUCGUUUGACAGUUGUGGAGCCCCUCCCACCAAUAAAGCUUUUGUAGGUGAAGAACCUGAAGGAUCUGAGGCUGUGCCAGUACAUGCUGGAGAAAUACUUGACUGGACUCGGGAGUAGGAGCCUAGGCAUUGGCCCACAGAUGUGCUGUUCUCCUUCUUUGGAUACCCGUCGCAACAACACAAUCUUCUCUGUCUACUGGAGUUGUCUUGGUUGUAGAUUUGGAGAUCCUCAAUCUCUCAGCUUAGUUCUCUAACGUUAAGUCAUAUCGACUCUUAGCAUAGUACUUUAUUUGCCACUGUUCUUUCUACCUUUAUUUUGCCAGAACUUUCUAUGGGUAAGACAUUCCUUCUGUAACAUUUUAUGAUGUGUAAGACCACACAAGGGUACCCAGAGUCCAUACACAAUGUGCUCUUAUUAUCCUGUGAGAAGUCCAAGCCAGUAACCCAAUCUUAACUCAGUGGUGAGAAGGAACUUAAAACUUAGAACAGGACUUGUUUUCAUUCCUUUCUUGUUAGUAUCAUUCACAACUUCUGUAGAAGGUGGGAGUCCAGAAAGCAAAGGGCGGGAUUUUCUCACAUGAUCUUGACCCAUGUUGGGUUUUCUGUCUUCCAUCUCCACCUUUAACAUUUAAUAUACCACAUCUCUCCAAAGGUCAUGCCUAUUCUAGUGUGCUGCACUCAGUGAAGAAGUUGGAGUAAGCGUCAAAAGAGUGAAGGCCAAGCUCUGACUGUGACAGAGAGUUUGAGAUAGACAACUGAUGCUUUGAAAAACACGUGACUUCUCGCUGGGACCUCCAUCUACUGUAAAUAACCAACAACCUGUUCAAGGAUCAAUGUGCCUCUGAGAUGAGGACAACAAGUCUCCCCUUGCAAUCAGAAUGGACCAUCACUAUGGACCUCAUCUAUUAGAUGCAGGUUGUCUAGCAAGCCUCUGGACAGGCAGCAUGGCAGAAAUCAACUCUUUCCAAAAAAAAGGCUGCUGCUGACACAGUGGAUAGAGCACACACAAGCUCCCUGUCUGACUCCUUCAGCUCCUGCAUGUCUCCUUGGCUAACAUUUCAGAGCUUCUGAUUCUUCAGACAUCAGCUUCUUGAUACUGAAGAGAUUGUUCUACCUGAUGAGCCCAGGCCUAGAAGAUGGACUGCAUCCAAGAAGCCUGGUCCAUCUAAGGCCAAGUCACAUCUUUAAGAAAUAUUUGAAAGCAUUUGUGCACAGGAUAAAGGUGCAAGGACCAAAGUCUCCUUAGACUUUCCAGCAUACAGAGGGUCUGACAGACUCAGGUCAAAGGUUACGUCUGAAGCCUAGAUUAUGAAGAAGGCCCCACUCCACAGUAGAAGCCUGUGGCUGAUGCUGUUGCAACCAGGACUAUGAUUGUGAAACUUUUGUCUGUUCAGGAUAGCAGGUUCAGGAAUCUUGUGCCCAGGUAUCCACAGGCCUUUUUUCAUACAUUUCUUGGUAUAAUUUUGCAAGUCCUGACUUUGGACAUGUCGGGUGCUGAUGGUAUCUCACUUGAUAUAUAGUCCAAGAAAGAUUUUUACCCCUUUAAGGGGCUGGAAAUAGACUGGCCUCACAGUUACCAUUAAAACUGAAGUUCUGUCCUUUGUGGUUAUUGGCCCUUUUAAAACUUGUUUGACUGGAAACAAAGCUCAGAGCCUGAUAUUUCCAAGAUUCACCCCUACAAAAUUCAGAAACCCACAGCUCAAAGCAGUACAGAUACCACUCAGAAAUGAAUCCAAGGACAAGGUGUCUGACAUGAGAAUCUUACAGAUUUAUUUAAAGGUCCAGGACUCAGCAACACUACACCUACGUAGAAUCAUUCAGGGAUUCCCCCGUUAGAAUUUGGGAGCUGCCAUUCACAGAAAUGACCCAUGGGAGACUCUUAUUUCCAUAUCAUAGCCUCCAUGACCCAUAGUGCUGUGACUGCCAUGCUCUCUGUCAAACUCCACAGGAGGUCACCAUUAGUAGAAUAACAGUGCAGGGCAGCAGAGCAGUACAGUGGCCCUAGGGUGGUGUCGUGGGUGGUUCCAGAAGAUACUGACAUCACACCACCCUCUACAUCUAGAAUGAAAGGAAGAGGAACACGGGAGGGAGUGUGUGAUUGAAUUCAUGGCCCAAAGCAGCCUAGGUGUCAGCUAUCAGUCUGGAAGAGCACGUCUGCCUCUGUAUGGAGGAUUCAGGUCAGGAAUGUGACCGGAACCAGAUGAAUCAAUUCUCGCAAGAGGAAAGUCCUUUACGUGACAUCUUGCACCACAACAGAAUAGCCACAAGAUAGCUUGUCCUUAUAGGAACUGGCACACCAAGGGCAUAGGGGAAGUCUCUGGAAUAUACAGGAUUGGUUGAGUACCACACAGGAUGGCUGACAAGCUAGCAGAAGAGUAGGACACACACUGAGGUCAAGUGCCAGGUAUCAUGACCUAUGUAGCCACACAGCUGGA